rnacentral:rRNA from 1 species
GAUGAACGCUGGCGGCGUGCCUAAUACAUGCAAGUCGAGCGAACAGACGAGGAGCUUGCUCCUCUGACGUUAGCGGCGGACGGGUGAGUAACACGUGGAUAACCUACCUAUAAGACUGGGAUAACUUCGGGAAACCGGAGCUAAUACCGGAUAAUAUAUUGAACCGCAUGGUUCAAUAGUGAAAGACGGUUUUGCUGUCACUUAUAGAUGGAUCCGCGCCGCAUUAGCUAGUUGGUAAGGUAACGGCUUACCAAGGCAACGAUGCGUAGCCGACCUGAGAGGGUGGUCGGCCACACUGGAACUGAGACACGGUCCAGACUCCUACGGGAGGCAGCAGUAGGGAAUCUUCCGCAAUGGGCGAAAGCCUGACGGAGCAACGCCGCGUGAGUGAUGAAGGUCUUCGGAUCGUAAAACUCUGUUAUUAGGGAAGAACAAAUGUGUAAGUAACUAUGCACGUCUUGACGGUACCUGAUCAGAAAGCCACGGCUAACUACGUG